AAUAUACUCCCUCCGUUCGGAAAUAGUUGUCAUUGAAAUGAAUGUAUCUAGAUGUAUUUUAGUUCUAGAUACAUCCAUUUUGAUGACAAGUAAUUCCGAACAGAGGGAGUAUAUG
rnacentral:pre_miRNA from 1 species